rnacentral:rRNA from 1 species
UACCGGCAGCUCGAGUGAUGUCCCAUAUUAUUGGGCCUAAAGCGUCCGUAGCUGGCCAUGCAAGUUCGUCGGGAAAUCCACCUGCCCAACAGGUGGGCGUCCGGCGAAAACUGCGUGGCUUGGAACCGGAAGGCUCAGAGAGUACGUCCGGGGUAGGAGUGAAAUCCCGUAAUCCCGGACGGACUACCGAUGGCGAAAGCACUCUGAGAGGACGGAUUCGACAGUGAGGGACGAAAGCUAGGGUCUCGAA